UACGGAGGGUGCAAGCGUUAUCCGGAAUCACUGGGUUUAAAGGGUGCGUAGGCGGCGCUAUAAGUCAGAGGUGAAAGGCCACCGCUUAACGGUGGGACUGCCUUUGAUACUGUAGUGCUUGAAUCAGGUUGAGGUCGGCGGAAUGUGACAUGUAGCGGUGAAAUGCUUAGAUAUGUCAUAGAACACCAAUUGCGAAGGCAGCUGACUAGACCUUGAUUGACGCUGAGGCACGAAAGCGUGGGGAGCGAACAGG
rnacentral:rRNA from 1 species